UUUAUACUACUUGAGGAAUAGAAAGAGACAUAUGAAUGUAUUAAAGAUAGACUUAGUAAAUCGAAUCUGACUAGAAUUUUGAAAGACAAUGUAUUAAACUCUUAAAUUCCAGAUCUGGUCAAAGAUGACUCUUCGGCUAACGUCCAGGUUCGUCUGAACCAAGUGGUUCCUUCGCGGUAAGGAGCAGAACGGGCGUGGCGCGUUCCGGACGGUCAGCCGGGUAAGGCUCAUGCGCCAACUUGGUUCCAGCACGACCCAAGUCCUUGGACAGUUGUAGAAUCCGUGCCUUAGAGAAAUUUUGAUCAUCAAAGUUCAAGAACUGAUCAUACUGGCCGGCUGAUCCAUCAGUACGCUCAUCGGGACACUCGGCUCGGAUCAGACGGACCAAAAGGGAAAGACUAUGGUCUGUCUCGAUUUCCACUCGACCCAAGUGGGUUCCGGCUCGACCAUCAGUCUUGGCUUG
rnacentral:lncRNA from 1 species